rnacentral:lncRNA from 1 species
CUCAAAACAAGACGACCAAGAAAACAAAUUGAUUCUACUACCUUGGAUUUAUUAAACUUGCUGAGCAAAGAGCCGUACCUCUGUGGAGUCCCAGUACUGCCUAAAACAAGGGUGAGUCAGAGACCAGAAUUUAAAGGGUUUGGGGACUGGAGCUAUUCAUAGGACACUUUUAGGGGGAAAGUUAGUAAGGUCCUUCUCAGGAGGGACUAGACAAUUUCUAAACUAGGCGAAUCAUAGGUUUAUUCAGUGGAACUUAGCUGCUGGAACAUGAAGAUCUGCGCAGAGUUGCUGGAUCCGUUUGGCUUUGGUCUUAUCUUGGAUCAUCGGGUCUGACUUCCCUCACUCAACUCUAGAGAUACUGGACUUAAGGAAAUGUCCCCAUAGAACGCUGAGCCUUUCACCUCCUCUUUGCUCGUCUCACGGCUUUGUUAGACACGAAACCAUCUUCUGGAAAAUGUCUUCCCUGACACCUCUCCUACUUUUCUGAGUUUGGGUUGCUUUCCUCCUAGCACUCACGGAGAUCCAGGCACAAAAUUGCCUUGUAUUCAAGUUCCAAGUACCAACCAGCCUUCCACGUGUUGUUGUUUCAAAGAUAACUCUAUUUGCAAAGCCUUUACGCUACUGUUCAGAGAUUUCCGGAGUGUGUGCAACUUCAGUGAGGACUGGAAAGUGGGCCAUUGCGCAGUUCAGCUCUCAGGCUCUUUGUAGAUAACUCUAUUUGAAAGCCUUGACACUGCGGUUGAGAGAUCUCUGGAGUGUGUGCAACCAGUGGUCAGUGAGGACUGGAAAGUGGACCAUUGUUCAGUUCAGUCCUCAGGCUCUUUUUAGGUACACAAUUGCCUUGUAUUUAAGCUCCAAGUAUCAACCAGACUUCCAUGUGUUGUCGUUUCGAAGAUAACUCUAUUUGAAAGGCUUGACACUGCUGUUCAGAGAUCUCCAAAGUGUGUGCAACCCAGUGGUCAGUGAGGACUGGAAAGUGGGCCAUUGCACAGUUCAGCUCUCAGGCUCUUUUUAGGGCAAGGCACAGUGGCUACUCAUUCUCUGCAAAGAAGGAGGAAAAAAGGGAAGAAGGAGAAAGUCACAAAGGGAAAACUCACGCUGCCAAAAUGUCAAGUUUAGGGUAUUCCGGGACAGAAAAAGACACGUCCCAGCAAAGAAGACCUACCUAGACCUGCCCAGCUAAAGUGUCACUGAUUUUUAAAAAAUAAUUAAUUAAAAAUGAUUAAAUGAUUGUGUGUGUGUUGCAUGUGUGUGUGUGUGUGUUUAUAAAAGUGGGAUGGCAUUAUCACUUGUUCCUUGUAGCUGAGACUCUGGGGGUUGUGAGAUGGUCCAGAUUUCUG